GGCUUUUUAAUUUACUCAGAUUUGAACUCUGAAAAAGGGGGUACUAACCCCCAAAAGCCU
rnacentral:tRNA from 1 species